rnacentral:rRNA from 1 species
GACGAACGCUGGCGGCGUGCCUAAUACAUGCAAGUAGAACGCUGAAGGAGGAGCUUGCUUCUCUGGAUGAGUUGCGAACGGGUGAGUAACGCGUAGGUAACCUGCCUGGUAGCGGGGGAUAACUAUUGGAAACGAUAGCUAAUACCGCAUAAUAGUAGAUGUUGCAUGACAUUUGCUUAAAAGGUGCAAUUGCAUCACUACCAGAUGGACCUGCGUUGUAUUAGCUAGUUGGUGAGGUAACGGCUCACCAAGGCAACGAUACAUAGCCGACCUGAGAGGGUGAUCGGCCACACUGGGACUGAGACACGGCCCAGACUCCUACGGGAGGCAGCAGUAGGGAAUCUUCGGCAAUGGACGGAAGUCUGACCGAGCAACGCCGCGUGAGUGAAGAAGGUUUUCGGAUCGUAAAGCUCUGUUGUAAGAGAAGAACGAGUGUGAGAGUGGAAAGUUCACACUGUGACGGUAUCUUACCAGAAAGGGACGGCUAACUAC